GUAGGUGAACUGCGGAAGGAUCAUUACCGAGUGUAGGGUUCCUAGCGAGCCCAACCUCCCACCCGUGUUUACUGUACCUUAGUUGCUUCGGCGGGCCCGCCAUUCAUGGCCGCCGGGGGCUCUCAGCCCCGGGCCCGCGCCCGCCGGAGACACCACGAACUCUGUCUGAUCUAGUGAAGUCUGAGUUGAUUGUAUCGCAAUCAGUUAAAACUUUCAACAAUGGAUCUCUUGGUUCCGGCAUCGAUGAAGAACGCAGCGAAAUGCGAUAACUAGUGUGAAUUGCAGAAUUCCGUGAAUCAUCGAGUCUUUGAACGCACAUUGCGCCCCCUGGUAUUCCGGGGGGCAUGCCUGUCCGAGCGUCAUUGCUGCCCAUCAAGCACGGCUUGUGUGUUGGGUCGUCGUCCCCUCUCCGGGGGGGACGGGCCCCAAAGGCAGCGGCGGCACCGCGUCCGAUCCUCGAGCGUAUGGGGCUUUGUCACCCGCUCUGUAGGCCCGGCCGGCGCUUGCCGAACGCAAAUCAAUCUUUUUCCAGGUUGACCUCGGAUCAGGUAGGAUACCCGCUGA
rnacentral:rRNA from 1 species